GAUGAACGCUGGCGGCGUGCUUAACACAUGCAAGUCGAACGGAAAGGCUCCUGCUUGCAGGGGUACUCGAGUGGCGAACGGGUGAGUAACACGUGGGUGAUCUGCCCUGCACUUCGGGAUAAGCCUGGGAAACUGGGGCUAAUACCGGAUAGGACGAUGGUUUGGAUGCCAUUGUGGAAAGGUUUUUCGGUGUGGGAUGAGCUCGCGGCUUAUCAGCUUGUUGGUGGGGUACUGGCCUACCAAGGCGUCGACGGGUAGCCGGCCUGAGAGGGUGUACGGCCACAUUGGGACUGAGAUACGGCCCAGACUCCUACGGGAGGCAGCAGUGGGGAAUAUUGCACAAUGGGCGCAAGCCUGAUGCAGCGACGCCGCGUGGGGGAUGACGGCCUUCGGGUUGUAAACUGCUUUCGCUAGGGACGAAGCGCAAGUGACGGUACCUGGAGAAGAAGCACCGGCUAACUACGUG
rnacentral:rRNA from 1 species